rnacentral:rRNA from 1 species
GACGUAGGGCGCGAGCGUUGUCCGGAAUUACUGGGCGUAAAGGGCUCGUAGGCGGCCAACUAAGUCAGACGUGAAAUCCCUCAGCUUAACUGGGGAACUGCGUCCGAUACUGGAUGGCUUGAGUUUGGGAGAGGGAUGCGGAAUUCCAGGUGUAGCGGUGAAAUGCGUAGAUAUCUGGAGGAACACCGGUGGCGAAGGCGGCAUCCUGGACCAAUACUGACGCUGAGGAGCGAAAGCCAGGGGAGCAAACGGG